rnacentral:rRNA from 1 species
UACGUAGGGGGCAAGCGUUGUCCGGAUUUAUUGGGCGUAAAGAGCGUGUAGGCGGCCAGGUAGGUCCGUUGUGAAAACUGGAGGCUUAACCUCCAGCUGUCGAUGGAAACCAUCUGGCUAGAGUCCGGAAGAGGCGAGUGGAACUCCUGGUGUAGCGGUGGAAUGCGCAGAUAUCAGGAAGAACACCAGCGGCGAAGGCAGCUCGCUGGGACGGAACUGACGCUAAGGCGCGAAAGCGUGGGGAGCGAACAGG